AGGUCCGCUCUGGUUCUGACGUGCAAAUCGAUCAUUAGACCUGGGUAUAGGGGCGAAAGACUAAUCGAACUCUCUAGUAGCUGGUUCCAUCCGAAGUUUCCCUCAGGAUAGUUGGAGUAUUAAGCAGUUCCAUCUGGUAAAGACAAUGAUUAGAGGCCUUGGGGAUGAAACAUCCUCAACCUAUUCUCAAACUCUAAAUGGGUGGGAAGGGUGAGUUGCUUGAGUGAACUCGCCCGACAUAGAAUGCGACGUGCUCCAAGUGGGCCAUAUUUGGUAAGCAGAUCUGGCGAUGCGGGAUGAACCGAACGCAGGGCUAAGGCGCCAAACUCGACGCUCAUUCCAGAACCCACAAAAGGUAUUGACUGGUCGAGACAGCAGGACGGUGGUCAUGGAAGUCGAAAUCCGCUAAGGAGUGUGUAACGACUCACCUGCCAAACCAGUUAGUCCUGAAAAUGGAUGGCGCUCAAGCGUCGGGCCUAUGCUCUGCCGUAGAUCCAAGUUGUUUUGGUCUACGAGUAGGAUGGCGUGGCGGUCGUGAAAAAGCGUUGGGCGUGAGCCCGCGUCGAACGGCCGCUAGUGCAGAUCUUGGUGGGAGUAGCAAAUAUUCAAAUGAGAACUUUGAAGACUGAAGUGGAGCAAGGUUCCGUGUGAACAGCAAUUGGACGCGGGUUAGUCGGUCCUAAGGAGUAGGCAAACGCCGAGUUAACGCGAGUGGUAAAACACUCCAGCCUCCGAAAGGGAAUGGGGUUAAUAUUCCCCAACCGAGACGCAGGUCUUUUUGAGACGGCGACGUAAACGAGCCUCAAGACGUCGGUUCACAUCUCGGAAAGGAUUAUCUCUUCUUUUUGACAAGCGUACCGCAUUGUGCGGGCAAGACAGCGGAAUCGGUUUGGCCGGAGAAGCUGUGUUGGCGCUGGCAAAGCUGCGACACUUGUCGCGGCCCGGUGCAUGUGAAACGACCCGUGAAAAUUGAGGUGAGCACAACGCAAGUAGACUUUGCGCUCGGCCGUACUGAUAACCGCAUCAGGUCUCCAAGGUGAGCAGCCUCUAGUCGAUAGAAGAAUGUAGGUAAGGGAAGUCGGCAAAAUGGAUCCGUAACUUUGGGAGAAGGAUUGGCUCUGAGGGAAGGUGGUUAGGGGUGGCGUGUUUGAAGGGGUCUGACGGUGUGCGUGCUGUGCGAGCUCUUUCGGGGGCGAGCGCGGCGUGUGCGCUGUUGACUCUGGACGGCGUCACCAGUUGCGUAGCUUUCGGGUUGCGUGGCGUCCUGCCACGGCAUCUUCCAGCUCAGAACUGGAACGGACAAGGGGAACCCGACUGUCUAAUUAAAACAUAGCAUUGUGAUGGCCGUUGGACGGUGUUGACACAAUGUGAGUCAUGCUCAGUGGAAUUCUUGUCAAUGUUUGGAGACAAGCUUAAGCCAUUCUAAACAGCAGGAGUAACUAUGACUCUUUUAAGGUAGCCAAAUGCCUCGUCAUAUAACUAAUGACGUGCAUGAAUUGGUUUUCGAGG
rnacentral:rRNA from 1 species